GCAUUUUUUGCUAUGGACUGUUGCAAAUUGAAAACAAGCUCUGUAAACUCUAAAGAAACCAGUCCUAACGACUUCUAACCAAAAAGACUGGUCAGGCAUUUGAUCCCAGCACAGCACAAUUCAAAAUCUGCUCUCUGCUGCUCUGCGCAUGGAGAGGAUUAGGAAUGUAGUGGAACAGCAAGCUGAUGUUGCAGUGUGUGGAACAGAGCACUGGCAAAAAGAGACUUUAACGAAAAGGAUUUUCUCUCUCCUCAACAUCACACCAGGGCAAACAUGCAAAAAAGUUUCUAUCAAGCAAAGAGAGAGAGAAGUGAGAGAAAUCCAGCUUUUGAACGUGAACAUGGAACUAACAAGAAGAGCUCUUUCUCAUCACGGGACUAAUUUUGUACUUCAUGCCUUCACAAGCAGGAAAAAGGCUGAAAUUCCCGAUUUUCAAACCUAGACCUGGAACUAUGUCAUUCUUCCAAAUUGAUAACAGAAAUGUCUAAUUCCACUCAUUAUUUUAUAUCAAGGAAAUGUUUUUAAACUGGUUACGUAUGCAUGCAAGUAGAUGAAGGUUGGUACCCUACACAAGGUAUGAGAGUAAAUGACAACCAUUAAAAGAUAUGUUUGUUUAAACCCACAGGUCUGCAGAGUUCUUCCACUGGAUGAGCUCAUUAAUAAAACCCUUGUGCAUCA